CAGUAGCCGCGGUAAUACGGAGGGUGCAAGCGUUAAUCGGAAUUACUGGGCGUAAAGCGCACGCAGGCGGUCUGACAAGUCAGAUGUGAAAUCCCCGGGCUUAACCUGGGAACUGCAUUUGAAACUGUCAGGCUGGAGUCUUGUAGAGGGGGGUAGAAUUCCAGGUGUAGCGGUGAAAUGCGUAGAGAUCUGGAGGAAUACCGGUGGCGAAGGCGGCCCCCUGGACAAAGACUGACGCUCAGGUGCGAAAGCGUGGGGAGCAAACAGGAUUAGAUACCCCGGUAGUCCCUGUCUCUUAUCA
rnacentral:rRNA from 1 species